GCGGGCGUAGCUCAGUUGGUAGAGCGUCAGCUUCCCAAGCUGGAUGUCGAGGGUUCGAACCCCUUCGCCCGCUCCA
rnacentral:tRNA from 1 species